rnacentral:lncRNA from 1 species
GUCCAUGCAUCAUACUGUAGGGAUGGAUUUAUUAAUACACUCCAGUAUCAUAUUCAGUGAUAUCAGGCACUAGUUUUAUUUUAGAAUAUUAGAAUAUUUUUAGAAUUUCUUUCAUGUUUUUUUAUCAUAGCAAUAUUCACCAGUGUUGCUGACCUGAUGCCUUUCUUAUUUCUUAUAUUUCUCUGCACACUCAACGAAAUGCUACUGUACGUUUUUUUUAUUUUACGCGGACGGGAUUAAGUAUUCACUCUACCCGGACAAAAGAAGAGCACCCACCGCGGAGCCCUGCGCAGCGUCACCCACGGGUGGAGGAGCGGAUCCACGCCCCGCGUUGCGGCUGUCAGUCGUGACGGUUCCCAGAUGGAGCGUGCUACUGUACACGAGAUUGAGUUUCUCACACACACACACACACACACACACACACACACACACACACACACACACACACACACACACACACACACACACACACUCCAAACCGUCCUCAAAAAGCUCACGCCAGCGCGCCGGAUCUCCGAGGAGCGAGAAGUUCACGGAGGAUCACGGAGCUCCUGGUGCCACUCUGCUGCUAGAAAAAGAAGAAGAACGGUGGCCCCCUAUUUAUGGGGGCCCACUCCCACGGAACGGCCGGCGGCUUCUCUGUCGCGGAGUAUCUGCGGCUGGACCAAUCCAGACGGAGGAUGCGCAGCGCUGACCAAUCACAAGACGCGUUAUCAUGAUGUUUCAAGAAUGAGAGCCGUUCGUUCACGUCACCUUCAAAAAUGAAUAAAAUCGCCGUCCGACCAAUCAGAGCGCAGCGAUCUGACGACGAAAUAAACCACAGACCGUCAUGAUAAGAUGAACA